rnacentral:tRNA from 1 species
GCCCCCGUAGCUCAGUCCGGAUAGAGCGCCGGUCUUCUAAACCGUUGGUCGCUGGUUCGAGUCCAGCCGGGGGCG